UACAGAGGUCUCAAGCGUUGUUCGGAUUCAUUGGGCGUAAAGGGUGUGUAGGUGGCGCGCUAAGUCGGGUGUGAAAUUUCGGAGCUUAACUCCGAAACUGCAUUCGAUACUGGCGUGCUUGAGGACUGGAGAGGAGACUGGAAUUUACGGUGUAGCAGUGAAAUGCGUAGAUAUCGUAAGGAAGACCAGUGGCGAAGGCGGGUCUCUGGACAGUUCCUGACACUGAGACACGAAGGCCAAGGGAGCAAACGGG
rnacentral:rRNA from 1 species